CUCUGGUGAAGUCAGCUGAGAUGGAGCUGGCCUGGUGUCACUAGAAUCCUUGUUUAGGCAGACCUUGUGAUCCACAAUGGAAAUAUCCAGCUGUGGAGACAACCUUGGAGCUCCUG
rnacentral:lncRNA from 1 species